UACAGAGGGUGCAAGCGUUAAUCGGAAUUACUGGGCGUAAAGCGUGCGUAGGCGGGCAUUUAAGUCGAUUGUGAAAUCCCCGGGCUUAACCUGGGAACUGCAGUCGAGACUGGAUGUCUAGAGUAUGGUAGAGGAAAGUGGAACUCCCGGUGUAGCGGUGAAAUGCGUAGAUAUCGGGAAGAACACCAGUGGCGAUGGCGGCUUUCUGGACCAAUACUGACGCUGAGGUACGAAAGCGUGGGGAGCAAACAGG
rnacentral:rRNA from 1 species